CGCGUAGGUGGUUGUGUAAGUCAGAUGUGAAAUCCCGAGGCUCAACCUCGGAACUGCAUCUGAAACUGCAUGACUCGAGUACAGCAGAGGGAAACGGAAUUCCUGGUGUAGAGGUGAAAUUCGUAGAUAUCAGGAGGAACACCGGUGGCGAAGGCGGUUUCCUGGGCUGAUACUGACACUGAGGCGCGAAAGCGUGGGGAGCAAACAG
rnacentral:rRNA from 1 species